CUGUUUAACUAAAAUAAGUAUAUGUCUUGAAAACAUAAAAUAAUUGUUUAAAUCAAUUAGUAGU
rnacentral:tRNA from 1 species